GAUGAACGCUGGCGGCGUGCCUAAUACAUGCAGGUCGAGCGAACGGACGAGAAGCUUGCUUCUCUGAUGUUAGCGGCGGACGGGUGAGUAACACGUGGAUAACCUGCCUAUAAGACUGGGAUAACUUCGGGAAACCGGAGCUAAUACCGGAUAAUAUUUUGAACCGCAUGGUUCAAAAGUGAAAGACGGUCUUGCUGUCACUUAUAGAUGGAUCCGCGCUGCAUUAGCUAGUUGGUAAGGUAACGGCUUACCAAGGCAACGAUGCAUAGCCGACCUGAGAGGGUGAUCGGCCACACUGGAACUGAGACACGGUCCAGACUCCUACGGGAGGCAGCAGUAGGGAAUCUUCCGCAAUGGGCGAAAGCCUGACGGAGCAACGCCGCGUGAGUGAUGAAGGUCUUCGGAUCGUAAAACUCUGUUAUUAGGGAAGAACAUAUGUGUAAGUAACUGUGCACAUCUUGACGGUACCUAAUCAGAAAGCCACGGCUAACUACGUG
rnacentral:rRNA from 1 species